rnacentral:precursor_RNA from 1 species
UCAUUACAUCUGGGGCAAGUUUGUGAAGCUGGUCACUACCCCUUAUGUGAUGACU